GGCAGUUCUUGGGUGACAUACCCUGGAAUUGGGCUCCCUGUGCUCUGGUUCCAGGUGCGUCACCCGAGAACUGCA
rfam:Myotis lucifugus cont2.8550, whole genome shotgun sequence.